rnacentral:rRNA from 1 species
UACAGAGGGGGCAAGCGUUAUUCGGAAUUAUUGGGCGUAAAGGGCGCGUAGGCGGCGAUUCAAGUGGCGGGUGAAAUCCCUCGGCUUAACCGAGGAACUGCCUGCCAGACUGGAUGGCUUGAGUCCGGGAGAGGUGAGUGGAAUUCCCAGUGUAGCGGUGAAAUGCGUAGAUAUUGGGAGGAACACCAGUGGCGAAGGCGGCUCACUGGACCGGAACUGACGCUGAGGCGCGAAAGCGUGGGGAGCAAACAGG